rnacentral:rRNA from 1 species
GGGGGCUCGUUUACCCUAUACUGGGCAUAAGCGCGCGGAGGUGGUUCGUCAAGUGGGAUGUGACACCCCCGGGCUCCACCUGGGAACUGCAUCCAAAACUGGCCACCUAGAGUACGGUAGAGGGUGGUGGAAUUUCCUGGGUAGCGGUGAAAUGCGUAGAUGUAGGAAGGAACACCAGUGGCGAAGGCCACCACCUGGACUGAUACUGACUCUGACGUGCGAAAGCGUGCGGAGCAAACAGGAUUACAUACGCUGGUAGUCCACUCCGCUAGACGAUGUCUACUAGCCGUUGGAAUCCUUGAGAUUUUAGUGGUGCAUCUCACUCAUUACGCUGACCGCCUGGGGAGUACGGCCGCAAGGCUUAAACUCAAAUGAAUUGACGGGGGCCCGCACAAGCGGUGGAGCAUGUGGUUUAAUUCCUAAGCAACGCGAAGAACCUUGCCAGGCCUUGACAUGCAGAGAACUUUCCCGAGAUGGAUUGGUGCCUUCGGGAACUCUGACUGCAGGUGCUGCAUGGCUGUCGCCAGCUCGUGUCAUGAGAUGUUGGGUUAAAUCCCGUAACCAGCGCAUCCCUUGUCCUUACUUACCAGCACGUUAUGGUGGGCACUCUAAUGAGACUGCCUGUGACAAACCGGCAGGAAGGUGGGGAUGACUUCCACUCAUCAUGGCCCUUACGGCCUGAGCUACACACGUGCUACCAUGGUCUGUACAGAGGGUUGCCAGACCCCAGAGGUGGACCUCAUCUCACAAAACCAAUCAAAGUCCGGAUCGCAGUCUGCAACUCGACUGCGUGAAGUCCGAAUCGCUAGUAAUCGCGAAUCAGAAUGUCGCGGUGAAUACGUUCCCGGGCCUUGUACACACCGCCCGUCACACCAUGGGAGUGGGUUGCACCAGAAGUAGCUAGUCUAACCUUCGGGAGGACGGUACCACGGUGUGAUCAUGACUGGGGUGAAGUCGUACAAGGUAACCGUAAAGUUCACCCCGUCGCGGGCGCCGGCAACCAACGCGAACGCCGUAUCAGUAGGAUAGUAUCCUCUCGCGCUAC